AUCGACGGCGGUGUUUGGCACCUCGAUGUCGGCUCAUCACAUCCUGGGGCUGAAGCCGGUCCCAAGGGUAUGGCUGUUCGCCAUUUAAAGUGGUACGCGAGCUGGGUUUAGAACGUCGUGAGACAGUUCGGUCCCUAUCUGCCGUGGACGUUUGAGAUUUGAGAGGGGCUGCUCCUAGUACGAGAGGACCGGAGUGGACGAACCUCUGGUGUUCCGGUUGUCACGCCAGUGGCAUUGCCGGGUAGCUAUGUUCGGAAAAGAUAACCGCUGAAAGCAUCUAAGCGGGAAACUUGCCUCAAGAUGAGAUCUCACUGGAGCCUUGAGCUCCCUGAAGGGCCGUCGAAGACUACGACGUUGAUAGGCAGGGUGUGUAAGCGCUGUGAGGCGUUGAGCUAACCUGUACUAAUUGCCCGUGAGGCUUGACCAUAUAACACCCAAGCAAUUUGG
rnacentral:rRNA from 1 species